GGAAUUUUGGACAAUGGACGCAAGUCUGAUCCAGCCAUUCCGCGUGCAGGAUGAAGGCCCUCGGGUUGUAAACUGCUUUUGUACGGAACGAAAAGGUCUCUCUUAAUACGGGGGGCUCAUGACGGUACCGUAAGAAUAAGCACCGGCUAACUACGUGCCAGCAGCCGCGGUAAUACGUAGGGUGCAAGCGUUAAUCGGAAUUACUGGGCGUAAAGCGUGCGCAGGCGGUUAUAUAAGACAGAUGUGAAAUCCCCGGGCUCAACCUGGGAACUGCAUUUGUGACUGUAUAGCUAGAGUACGGUAGAGGGGGAUGGAAUUCCGCGUGUAGCAGUGAAAUGCGUAGAUAUGCGGAGGAACACCGAUGGCGAAGGCAAUCCCCUGGGCCUGUACUGACGCUCAUGCACGAAAGCGUGGGGGGCAAACAGGAUUAGAUACCCUGGUAGUCCACGCCCUAAACGAUGUCAACUGGUUGUUGGGUCUUCACUGACUCAGUAACGAAGCUAACGCGUGAAGUUGACCGCCUGGGGAGUACGGCCGCAAGGUUGAAACUCAAAGGAAUUGACGG
rnacentral:rRNA from 1 species